CCUACGGGAGGCAGCAGUGGGGAAUAUUGGGCAAUGGAGGCAACUCUGACCCAGCAACGCCGCGUGAAUGAUGAAGGUCUUCGGAUUGUAAAGUUCUGUGAUGGGGGAUGAACACAAUGACGGUACCCCAAUAGCAAGCCACGGCUAACUACGUGCCAGCAGCCGCGGUAAUACGUAGGUGGCAAGCGUUAUCCGGAAUGACUGGGCGUAAGGGGUGCGUAGGUGGUUUAGUAAGUUGGCGGUGUAAUUCCGGGGCUCAACCUCGGCGCUACCGCAAAAACUAUUAGACUAGAGUGCAGGAGGGGUAAGUGGAAUUCCUAGUGUAGCGGUGGAAUGCGUAGAUAUUAGGAGGAACAUCAGGGGCGAAGGCGACUUACUGGACUGUAACUGACACUGAGGCACGAAAGCGUGGGGAGCAAACAGGAUUAGAUACCCGGGUAGUC
rnacentral:rRNA from 1 species